AUUUGGCUGAGGAGAUGAUGAACAUCAGAGGCUGUUUCUGAGGAUGAGCCUAGAGCUCUUCAUAUGCUGCAAAAUAACUGAUUUACCUAUCUGAUCCAAAG
rfam:Triticum urartu cultivar G1812 contig543152, whole genome shotgun sequence.